CUGAAAAAAAGUAAUCUGAGAUAAUUGAUAUUCAAUCAGGAUGAAGGCGGAUCGCUGUCCUGAAAGGCUUAAGCAUAUAGCACUCAAGAUGUGACUUUAUACAAUAUGAAAACUGAAAAUUCUUCAGGAUUCAAAAUAUAAUGAUAAUGAUAAUGAUUUUUAAGCUUAUAUGUUGUAGAAAAAAAAUUAAGGUUGGGAGGAAUGUUAUAUCCAAUACACGGCUGCCGAUUAGUGGCGUCUUGACUGGGGCCACCACCUGGUGGAUGAUGUGGUAAUGGGAACGAGUGUGAAAGAAGCACAUGGCGAGUGAGACCCACGGGACCUGGUCACAACAGGUGAUAUGUAUUUGACCCAAGGUGGAGCAGUGGUCAUUACCCACAGUCACCCAUCACCAUGCCAAAAAAACCUCCUUGCAGCUCCAGUCUCCAUACAGCAUGGUGUCUUCUAGGUGAACUGACUUUACCUGGCUGAAAAUGGAGGACAUGUAUUGUUAAUAUGAAAUAGACAGGAAAUAGAAGCUGCAGGAAUAUCCCUUCAUCUCACACAGUUGUGCAAGACACAGCAAGUUUCAGGAUGAAUGGGUUGUGAAGAGCCAGAGACAGGACAGCCAUGGUAAACAGGUAACUGGACUUCUUGCAGCUCACACACAUGGUUUGACAGUUGUUGUAAAUUGUGAAGCGUCUCAGUAGUGGCCUGCUUGAUGUGGUCAGAUUGUGUUGAAAUUUAUUGGACCCAAAGUGGAGCAGUGGUCAUUACUUCCCUGGGAUGACCCAUUGUCAUGACAGUAACUGGACUGCUUGCAGCUCCAGUCUCCAUACAGCAUGGUGUCUUCUAGGUGAACUGACUUUACCUGGCUGAACAUGGGGGGAAUGUAUUUUUUAUAAGACUGAAGCAGACAUGAAAAGACAGCAACAGGAACAUCUGCAUCUCACCCAGUUGUGCAAGGCAUGGGAUGUGGCAAGUUUUAGGAUGAAUGAACA